ACAGGCCUACCAGCCAAAACAACAACUGGCAGAAUAGUGCUACCUGGAGCAUCCACCUCAUAGGUCUCCAACAAAAGGAAUCUGCAUUCACAAGUGCUGUGCAAUCCCAGGGGAUAAUUGCAAUGAUGUCUGCAUUCCAGACAAAGGUACUGAUGAAGCUAGACAUUAUAAUUGAGAACCAGCAAGAGCAACUGAGGCUCCUUAUUGCUACAAGGCCAUCGACCAAGGCUGAGGACCUCGACAUUCUGCCAUCACCGUUGACCUGAAGCUACUGUUUAAGAAGGGUAGCCUAGUGGUUAGUGGUUAGAGCGUUGGACUAUUAACCGGAAGGUUGCAAGUUCAAAUCCCCGAGCUGACAAGGUACAAAUCUGUCGUUCUGCCCCUGAACAGGCAGUUAACCCACUGUUCCUAGGCUGUCAUUGAAAAUAAGAAUUUGUUCCUAACUGACUUGCCUAGUAAAAUAAAAAUAAAAUAAAAUCUCAACAGGGGAUAAUUUUCACAAACAAUUGUUAUGUUCUCACUGCAAGUACUUCUUCGCCACAAAAAGAUAAACACCGGCCGGUAAAGUAUUAUAGGGCUACUACUGUAGGUCACAUCUUCUUCAUUGUUUCAGUCAGACAUACCAGGAAUCAAAUUCUCUAUUACUUUGGUAUUGUCCAUAUGUAGCUCGUUUUUGGUCACAGGUCCAGGAAUGGCUGAAGAAUUGCAACAUUUGCCUAGAACUAACACUGCAGAUAGCAAUACUGGGUGAUUUGAAAAGCCAUAGAC
ensembl:lncRNA